rfam:Homo sapiens chromosome 2, GRCh38 reference primary assembly.
GCUGGGUGUGGUGGCGCACACCUGUAAUCCCAGCUACUCGGGAGGCUGAGGCAAGAGAAUCACUUGAACCCAGGAGGCCUCGGAGGCUGCAGUGAGCCAAGAUCACGCCACUCCACUCUAGCCUGGGCGACAAAGUGAGACACUGUUUCAA